GACGAACGCUGGCGGCGUGCUUAACACAUGCAAGUCGAACGGAAAGGCCCUGCUUUUGUGGGGUGCUCGAGUGGCUAACGGGUGAGUAAGACGUGAGUAACCUGCCCUUGACUUUGGGAUAACUUCAGGAAACUGGGGCUAAUACCGGAUAGGAGCUCCUGCUGCAUGGUGGGGGUUGGGAGGUGUCGGCCGUUGGGGAUGGAGUCGGGGCUUAUCAGCUUGUUGGUGGGGUAGUGGCUUACCAAGGCUUUGACGGGUAGCCGGCCUGAGAGGGUGACCGGCCACAUUGGGACUGAGAUACGGCCCAGACGCCUACGGGAGGCAGCAGUGGGGAAUAUUGCACAAUGGGCGGAAGCCUGAUGCAGCAACGCCGCGUGCGGGAUGACGGCCUUCGGGUUGUAAACCGCUUUCGCCUGUGACGAAGCGUGAGUGACGGUAAUGGGUAAAGAAGCACCGGCUAACUACGUG
rnacentral:rRNA from 1 species